CCUACGGGGGGCUGCAGUGGGGAAUAUUGGGCAAUGGAGGAAACUCUGACCCAGCAACGCCGCGUGAAUGAUGAAGGUCUUCGGAUUGUAAAGUUCUUUUCUAACGGAAGAAGAAAGUGACGGUACCUUAUGAAUAAGCCUCGGUUAACUACGUGCCAGCAGCCGCGGGAAUACGUAGGCGGCAAGCGUUAUCCGGAAUGACUGGGCGUAAAGGGUGCGUAGGUUGUUUGACAAGUUAGUAGCGAAACUCCGGGGCUCAACCUCGGCACUACUACCAAAACUGUCGGACGUGAGUGCAGGAGGGGCAAAUGGAAUGCCUAGUGUAGCGGUGGAAUGCGUAGAUAUUAGGAGGAACACCAGUGGCGAAGGCGGUUUGCUGGACUGUAACUGACGCUGAGGCACGAAAGCGUGGGGAGCAAACAGGAUUAGAUACCCGGGUAGUC
rnacentral:rRNA from 1 species